CUGUGAGUCCCCAGACUGCAAGACAGUGGCUGCAUUCCGAGACUUCAGCAGGCACAAAGUGAGAGAGACCCGUGUCAUCGCUGGGCAACUGACGCCGCUGUCGACCUCUAAGUCUGUGUGCCCCGUGACUGGACACCAAUCCCAGUGCGGCACAGCUAUCUGCUUCUUGGAGCUGUCACCCCUCAAGACUUGCAUUCCUGUGCUGGGCAUGACACAGGAGCUCAUCAGUCAGAAGAUGGAGGCUCUAGAACCAUUUCCUUCCCCUGAGAGAAGUGUCUGUCUGUGAAUAAUGAAAACUGCUUUGUUCUUGACUCAAUCAUAGAAUGAUAGGUAAGUAGUAAUUCUGGGAAAUGUGGUAAAGUGCUCUUGCACACAGGGUGAAGAAAAGACAUGAAAAUAAAAUUACAGAAAGCGAAUCUAUUCAGUAUUUCCGAAUUCGACUUAUCAACCUCCAAUCUCAAAUUGGUUAGAUUUCUCACACAAAGAACGCUGACCUGAGCAUUUGAAGAGUUGAGUCUCAACUUUGCCACCAACUGUUGAGUGUGAGAUCUUGUCAGGUAGAGGAAUGUCACAUGAUGGCCAUUUCUAAUUGGAGUGCUUAGGACAAGCCAUAGUUAGCAAGUCUAGGUGGUGUGGUGGCAGUGGUGGCCAAGGGUCGUAAUGCUGAGAGGCCUGAGGUAGGGAGGGAAGGACUGUGCCUGUGGGCUACCAGCUUCAGCUGAAGAGGAAUUAGUCCCAUCACGUUUUUUUUUUUUUUUAAGUUUAUUUUUUCAGUGUGCCAAGAUUCAUUGUUUAUGUACCACACCCAGUGCUCCAUUCAAUACAUGCCCUACUUAAUACAUACCACCAGGCUCACCUAACCCCCACCUCCCUCCCCUCCAAAACCCUGUUUUUUUCUCAGAAGAAAGGUCGGGAAGGCUACACCUUCUACAGUGCACAAGAUGAUCUUUGCAUCCACAAACAUCUAU
rnacentral:lncRNA from 1 species